AACCUGGUUGAUCCUGCCAGUAGUCAUAUGCUUGUCUCAAAGAUUAAGCCAUGCAUGUCUAAGUAUAAGCAAUCAUACUGUGAAACUGCGAAUGGGUCAUUAAAUCAGUUAUAGUUUAUUUGAUAGUACCUUUACCUGGAUAACUGUGGUAAUUCUAGAGCUAAUACAUGCUAAAAACCCCAACUUCAGGAGGGGUGUAUUUAUUAGAUAAAAAACCAAUGCCCUUCGGGGCUCUUUGGUGAUUCAUGAUAACUAAACGAAUCGCAUGGCCUUGCGCCGGCGAUGGUUCAUUCAAAUUUCUGCCCUAUCAACUUUCGAUGGUAAGGUAGUGGCUUACCAUGGUUUCAACGGGUAACGGGGAAUUAGGGUUCUAUUCCGGAGAGGGAGUCUGAGAAACGGCUACCACAUCCAAGGAAGGCAGCAGGCGCGCAAAUUACCCAAUCCCGACACGGGGAGGUAGUGACAAUAAAUACUGAUACAGGGCUCUUUUGGGUCUUGUAAUUGGAAUGAGUACAAUUUAAACCUCUUAACGAGGAACAAUUGGAGGGCAAGUCUGGUGCCAGCAGCCGCGGUAAUUCCAGCUCCAAUAGCGUAUAUUAAAGUUGUUGCAGUUAAAAAGCUCGUAGUUGAAACUUGGGCCUGGCUGGCAGGUCCGCCUCACCGCGUGUACUUGUCCGGCCGGGCCUUUCCUUCUGGAGAACCUCAUGCCCUUCACUGGGGUGUGCUGGGGAACCAGGACUUUUACUUUGAAAAA
rnacentral:rRNA from 1 species